rnacentral:rRNA from 1 species
UACGGGGGGAGCAAGCGUUGUUCGGAUUUACUGGGCGUAAAGGGCGCGUAGGCGGCCACCGCAAGUCGACUGUGAAAUCUCCGGGCUUAACCCGGAAAGGUCAGCCGAUACUGCGGGGCUAGAGUGCAGAAGGGGCAACUGGAAUUCCUGGUGUAGCGGUGAAAUGCGUAGAUAUCAGGAGGAACACCGGUGGCGAAGGCGGCUUCCUGGACCGACGCUGACGCUGAGGCACGAAAGCGUGGGUAGCAAACAGG